rnacentral:lncRNA from 1 species
AGAAGUAUUGUGAGUGAGAACCAAAUUCCUUACUAGUCCUACCACCUGAGCUUCAAGGAUUGUGGAUAUCCAGUGGGGAGGAGAACUGAUGGGGACUGGGGCGAGAAGGUCAGAUCUGAAGAAACUCCAGGGGCAUGAGCAGACCCAGCAUCCAUGGACAACGCAGUAUCCACUCACAUGAGCCUGUGCACCACCGGUGCAUCGGGGCUGCACUGGUUGUCUUGUCCUUUGGCAUCCAGUGAGGACUUCCUAGGAGGGCUGUUGGCAUUUU